AAACUCAAAGGAAUUGACGGNNNANCNGCACAAGCAGCGGAGCGUGUGGUUUAAUUCGAUGCAANGCGAAGAACCUUACCAGGGUUUGACAUGCUUUUGCACCGCCGUGAGAGCGGCGUCCUUUUCGGAGGCGGAAGCACAGGUGCUGCAUGGCUGUCGUCAGCCCGUGCCGUGAGGUGUUGGGUUAAGUCCCGCAACGAGCGCAACCCCUAUCGUCGGUUAUAAGUGUCCGACGAGACUGCCGCGAUCAACGUGGAGGAAGGUGGGGAUGACGUCAAGUCAGCACGGCCCUUACAUCCUGGGCGACACACACGCUACAAUGGUCGAGACAAAGGGACGCCAACCCGCGAGGGGGAGCCAAUCCCGUCAAACUCGGUCUCAGUUCGGAUUGUAGGCUGCAACCCGCCUGCAUGAAGUUGGAGUUGCUAGUAACCGUAGGUCAGCACACUACGGUGAAUACGUUCCCGGGUCCUGUACACACCGCCCGUCACACCACGAAAGUCGGCAACACCUGAAGCCGCUGGGCUAACCGCAAGGGGGCAAGCGUCGAGGGUGGGGUCGGUGAUUGGGGUGAAGUCGUAACAA
rnacentral:rRNA from 1 species